GUGCUCGCUUUGGCAGCACAUACACUAAAAUUGGAAUGAUACAGAGAUUAGCAUGGCCCCUGAGCAAGGAUGCCAUGCAAAUUUGUGAAGUGUUCCAUAUUUUU